AGGGAGGAUCUGACUCUUGGAGUCUGAUUUCCCCCCAAAUAACUGAGACUCUGGGGGCCCCCAGGAGAUUAUCCAAAACCAUGGCUUCCCAUAAGCCAUCUGGGCUUCACUGUGAGAUUCCUAAGGGUGGGCCCAGCUGGGUCAUCUUGUUGGAGAACCAGGAAGCUGGGCGUGAACUGCUGCACUUUCACUGUGCCAACCACAACAAGGGGUUGACAGCUCAGGUUCAAAGAGAUAAAAAGUGUAACUUUCCUGCCCAGACUGUGGCUCUGGCCUCAGAGCCCAAUGAGACAUGAGACUCACCCAGGCCAGGGAGAGCCGCCACAGCCCGGCUGGGGUCUCAGCUUGGUUCUGCAAGGCCCUGCGGGGCUCACAGAGGUUCAAGGUGAGCCUUAACAGUGGAGGCUAGAGCCCAGCUUUCCACCCACCUCCAUCCACUUUGGCUCUUUGUUCCUGAAAGCUGCUGUCUCAUACCUCCAGAGCUUUACCCAUGGUGUUCCUUCAUUCUGGAGAGCUCCUGCCCCACUCACACAAUCCACUUAGAUAAUACACACUCAGCUGUCAGGAAUCAACACAAGGAUCACCUCCUCCAUGAAGCCUUCUCUGAUUCUUCCCUUCGUGUCCCCACAGCAUCCUCCACCGACUUGGACCACAGACGCAUGACUUGUUAGAGCCCAGGUUUCCGAAUCUGCAUGUGCAGCAAAAUUACUUGCGGAUUUAUUUACAAAACAAAAAGCAGAUCUCUGGACUCAGACCUGUUAUAGAAGUUUGAGAAGACAACUAUUUCCAGCAAGCUCCAGGCUGUCUUACAUCUCAGGACUGAGUCACACAAGAGCUCUUGGAACCAGGCGAACCUGCAGCGACCUGUUUCACCAAUCAACCUAUUCUGAAAACCUGAAAGCUACUCAAGGUUGAUUCAAGGGCCACAGAGACUCCAGAGGCAGUAGCAGCAGUGUUGAGUUCCCGUGGGGGGCAGUGGAGGCUCGCACCCCAGGGUCAGGGCGGGUCAGGUGCAAGUUCUCAUCAUAGCGUGGGGACCCAGUUCAGCCCCUGCUAGCCCCCUGAGAUCUCUCUCACCCUCCUCUGCAUCAGAAAAAUGGCUGAAGCUAGUAAGCCGGUGAUGAAGAAAGCUUCACAAUCUGUUCCUUCGGAGAGGAGUAAGAGAGAAAAAGAACAAUUCCGUAAACUCUUUAUCGGUGACUUGAGCUCUGAGACCACAGAAGAAAGUCUGUGGAACUAUUACCGGCAGUGGGGAUAUCUUACAGACUGUGUGUUAAUAAGGGACCCUGCCAGCCAAAAAUCAAGAAGAUUUGGUUUCAUCACAUUCUCUUCCAUGGCUGAGCUGGAUGCCGCCAUGGUGGCCAGACCUCAUUUCAUUGAUGGGAAGAUGGUUACGCCCAAACGUGCUGUCCCAAGAGAAGACCAUGGAAAGCGGGGGGCUCUCGUCACUGUGAAGAAGCUGUUUGUCGGCGGAAUCACAGAAGACACGGAGGAACGCCAUCUUAGAGAUUACUUUGAGAAGUACGGAAAAAUCAGCGCCAUUGAGAUAGUUACUGAUGGACAGUCUGGCAAGAAAAGAGGCUUCGGAUUUAUUACUUUUGAGGACCAUGAUCCCGUGGAUAAGAUCGUGUUGCAGAAAAAUCAUACCAUCAAUGGUCAUCGUGCAAGUGUAAGAAAGGCCUUAUCUAGACAAGAGAGGCAAGAAGGCCAACAUUUCAGAAGUCGAGGAGGAGGCGAUGUUGGUUUGGGGUAUUUUCAUGGUGUUGGUGGGAAUGUGGGAGCAGGACGAGGAAGGAACUUCAGAGGAGGAGCCAGUGGGUAUGGAAGAGGGUGUCAGUUUGGGGAUGGCUCUCACGGGUACGGAGGAAGAGCUGGAGGUGGCAGCUGGGGGCUCAGGCCUGGUUACGGGGGAGGACGGGGAGGAUGCGGUGGUGGAGGGUCUGCAGACGGCUACCAGGAUGAGGGCUUCAGAGCCCGUUCUGACGGCUAUGGAGGAGGAAGUCACACAAGUCGCAAUGUCAGCGAUUCAGGCAAUCAGAAGCAGAAACCUUCUAGGUACGAUUUACUGAAGAGUGGAAAGCUGAGAGAGAGCAGGAACACGGGCGGGUCGUAUACUGGAGGAAACCACGGUCCAGGAGGCAGUAGCGGACGUGGGGGCUGUGGAGAGACAAGGCGCUGGGGGCCUUCUCAGUGGCCAUGGGCUUGACUGUGUACAGAGGAGGGAAUUACCUCCCGGAGGGAAGGGAGGGGCUGCGGAUGGUCAAGGUGACAGUGCUAAGGGAGCGCUCGCCCCAGUCAGACACAGAUGCGCAGCGCCACGGCAGAAGACCCCCCAGCUAGUACCGAAGCCACUUUGUGAGUGGGCUCAGCCAUGUACAAGCGCUAUCUUCCUGUGGAGCAAAGACGUAAAGAAAAUGCUUCUGAGCUGGUUUUUUAGCUUUUGAAAUGUUCUGCCUUUCCAGCGGUCUCUGGAAGAGUGCAGAAUCAUCCCUUCUUUGAUAAUGUCCCAUUUCCAAGAUUCGGUUGACACGGGAAACCUUUUUCAAGAUUUUUCUCGAAGUUUUGAAAAACUGUUAGCCAGAAUCAAGGGAGACUAAGACUAAUAUCAUGCUUCUUAAGAAACGUAUUUCAUGUGUAGAGUUAAGAAGCCGUUGUACAUUUAAGAUGUAAUAAAAUAAUUCUAAAAGUAAAACAGUA